rnacentral:rRNA from 1 species
UACGGAGGGGGCUAGCGUUGUUCGGAAUUACUGGGCGUAAAGCGCACGUAGGCGGAUUGGAAAGUUGGGGGUGAAAUCCCAGGGCUCAACCCUGGAACUGCCUUCAAAACUCCCAGUCUGGAGGUCGAGAGAGGUGAGUGGAAUUCCGAGUGUAGAGGUGAAAUUCGUAGAUAUUCGGAGGAACACCAGUGGCAAAGGCGGCUCACUGGCUCGAUACUGACGCUGAGGUGCGAAAGCGUGGGGAGCAAACAGG